AAGCCCAACUACUCCCUUCCCUAAACCAUCGGUGUCUCUCUCUCAACAAAGUCACAAAAUCCCCAAUUCAACACACACAACCCUAAUCCAUUCUCCCUCCUCUCUCUCUCGGCGGUAUCGCCUCAUUCUCACCGCCACCGUCGACGCCUCUCGCCGGAUUAUGAGCUCGAUCUCUCAGCUGCUACACAGCACCGCCGCCCGAAGCCGGCCCUGGACCGGUGACAGCCGGUGUCGUUGCGUACGUGAGCUCAGCGAGGCAGCACCGCCAUCGCAGUCAGACACUCCGUAAGGCGGGGUUGUCGCCUGUGCUCCUCCGCCGCUCUCCGUUGAAAUCGCGGAGGAGUUCUCGGCAUCUCCGUCGCGCCGGCCAGUCCCGCCGUCGCCGCACGGCGGAGGCCUCGCCGCUUCCCGACGCGGUGGAACAGCCGUUACUGUCCCGGUUAGGGAGAAGGCGUCGCCUUUCCCUUCCUCCGGUUCCUCUCUAUAAGCUAAGUUUUGCUGCCUUCCUUUGCUUAGCUCAAAUCGGGGUUUAUUUAGCAACCUAUGUAAAAAUCGAUUCUUGACUAUUGGUGAUGUUCAAGCUUUGAUCUUGUGGGAGUUUGAUUAUUGAAUCCAUUAAUUGAGUUUGUGGCAGAAGCUCUAUGUUGUGAUUAAUGGGGAUUCCUUGAACUUGUUGGGAUUUAUUUGUUUGCUCACUGGAAAGAGCUUAACCCUUAAAAAGAACUUGCUACAAAACUAUAGCAUAAAGGCAGCCUAUCGUGCUUGUUUUAUAUUGAUUGUGAUUCCUAAGUUGUGGUGACUCUAUAUGAUGGCAUGAAAAAUGAUUGGGAGGAAAGGGUGGAGGUGUAUUACCUCUGAGAAUUGAAGGAGUGGCUGACUUGCUGCUGCUUACUACUUGCUCUACCCUCUAACUCUCUGUUUUUGCUGAAUUUUGAAGUGUGGGUGAAAGGAGUUGGUGUGUGGUGUGGAGGGGGAUUUAUAGGCAGAUUGUGGGGUACUCUUGAGCCUUAAAUGGCUGUUGUAUCGUUUGUUGCUAUGCUGCAGAAAUCUCACUUUUAGUGAUCUCCUUGUCUCUCCUUCAUGGCUGCAAAACUUGCAUCUUUAUGGGUACCUAGUACUAGUUAUUAAUUGGGGUUUGUUUGAUUUGUAGAGAGGCAGGGGAUGUGGUGCCAAGGGCUGCAUUAUGAAGGGUGUGCAGGCUGGAAUUCCCCUUUUUUGGCAAGUUCUUGGUCUUCAAGGAAAAAGAAGGUGAGAGGAAAUCUCGGCUCCCAUCCGGCAGCACUUCGAGCAGGCCCGGAUUCACCGAUUGGGCCGACGGGCCGCCCGAAACGGGCCCUAAGUCGGGCCUGAAGAAAAGGCCCGGAUGCACACCCCAUUUUAGAUAUUUUCCCUUCCAUGUUUAUCUUUCUUUGGGGACUUCAUCCGUGUAACUUAUCCUAUAAAUUGUUGUUCACUAAACAAAAGUCUUGUUCUAUAUUUUGAAGUGUUUGAUGGUUAGUUGUUCUUUUAUUGUAUAAGUAAAGCUACUCGAAAAUUUUUGAUA